rnacentral:lncRNA from 1 species
GAAAACACACACGGCUGGGCCCUUCUCCAAUUCCUGAUUCAGUAGAUCUCCAUCAGGGCCCAGGAUUUUGUUUCUAGCCAAUUCCUAGGUGAUGUUGAUGUUGCUCAGCCCCGGACCAUGGUUUGGGGGCCACCCGUCUAUUGGGAUGUGAACCAGUUGUCUCAGUCAGGAGACAGAAACCACGUUAAUUAGUUGAACAGGGAGAUGUCUCACGAAGAAGUUUAGUAUACGUGCUGCCGAAGUGAGCACAAGGAAGAACUUUAAACUAGAUGUAAAGUGGUUUAGUGGGUAACGAGUGAGCUUGUUCCAAGACGGUAACAACUGCAGGAAGGCAUCUGCCACACCUGGGACUGGGGGAACAGAGAGGGAAAUGGUUGGAAUUAUUAGGAGUUGGGAAAUGCAGAGGCUGACCCUCAGGGCUCUGAGGAGACAGUGCUGAGCUGGUGUCUCUGGGGGGCUGGGCGGUGCUGGGAGCUUAAUGAAGCUGGCUGGCAAGUGUUGGGAAGUCUGUGAAGUGGGUUCGUCUGCAGCCGCUGGGCGCUGCAGAGAGCAGACAAGAAAGAACAAGUUCCUUCCGCGGCCCCCACUAGCGUAGCUCCCUCUAUUGCCUGCUGUACUGCUGGGCCUGACAGGCGAGCCAGGUGGCAAAGAAGAAAUACGAUUUGCACCACCCCAGCUCAGAGCACAGCAGGCUGGAUUUGUUCCCGAGGAAAAUACCAAGAGGCAAUGUGCUAUAGGAGAAAGAGGGUGACAGCAAACGAACAACACAAAUGGAAGAAGAUGCCUAGUUGCGUGUGGAAGAACCCUUGCAGCAGAGUGAUCCAGAGGCGGACGGCUGACUUCACUGAACCUCCCUCUGCUGACACGAGGAGACCGAGAUCUGCCACAUUUCAAAAAGCUAGCACAGAGCCUGGCAUGCAUUAGGUAAGAUCCUGGUGUGUGGCUGAUCUCCUUCCUAGUUGUUCCGUCAUGGUUACAGUUCCCCAACAACAUCUCGGUAUUUUUCCUUUGGAAAUCUUGACCUCAGGAGUGCAACUGGCUCAGAAACAAAGGGAUUUCUGUAGCCGCACCAGACAACUGUCCAUAGCUCAUAGCGUGAGAGCUCGCCUCCUCUCAGUACAUCCCAGGCUCCCAUCAUGAGGUGGCUUUGCUCUGCCCGCUUCUGUCGUGUGGGGUCGAGGGGUGCCGGCAGUGCAGGAUGGGAUCCUUAGGUGUGCGUUUGUGCUGAGAGAGGCAGCAGUCCGUGCUGAAUGACCUCCUCUAGCAGUGCUAGUCUGCCUGGCUGAUGACAGAUCACAAACAGCGCUGACCGCAGUGGGGAAAAUGAAAGGCGCUUACGUGUUUGAUCAGAGAAUAUCUUGGAGAAGGGGCUUAUCCUGGCUGCCAAGACCUCUGAUGGGCUGUUACGUCCUUACCCUAGGAAGGAAGGUUCCAUUUCAUAGCCAGAGUAUCACUGCACAUGCAAAAUAUAUUUCUAGAUCUACAUUUCCUCAGCCACUUGCUUUUCCUUUUUUUUUUUUUUAAGAUUUAUUUAUUUAUUUGAAAGACAGAGUUACAGAGAAGCAGAGGGAGAGAGAAAGAGAGAGAAAGAGAAUCUUUCAUCCACUGUUCACUCCCAAGAAGGCCGCAAGGGCUGGAGCUGCGCCAG